rnacentral:rRNA from 1 species
AGUGAACGCUGGCGGUAUGCCUAACACAUGCAAGUCGAACGGCAGCACAGUAAGAGCUUGCUCUUACGGGUGGCGAGUGGCGGACGGGUGAGGAAUACAUCGGAAUCUACUUUUUCGUGGGGGAUAACGUAGGGAAACUUACGCUAAUACCUCAUACGACCUACGGGUGAAAGCAGGGGAUCUUCGGACCUUGCGCGAUUGAAUGAGCCGAUGUCGGAUUAGCUAGUUGGCGGGGUAAAGGCCCACCAAGGCGACGAUCCGUAGCUGGUCUGAGAGGAUGAUCAGCCACACUGGAACUGAGACACGGUCCAGACUCCUACGGGAGGCAGCAGUGGGGAAUAUUGGACAAUGGGCGAAAGCCUGAUCCAGCCAUACCGCGUGGGUGAAGAAGGCCUUCGGGUUGUAAAGCCCUUUUGUUGGGAAAGAAAAGCAGCAGGUUAAUACCCCGCUGUUCUGACGGUACCCAAAGAAUAAGCACCGGCUAACUUCGUG